rnacentral:tRNA from 1 species
AUUUCUCUUUGCCAAGGAGAAGAUGCGGGUUCAAUUCCCGCUAUCCGCCCAGGACAAUAGGUUAAUGUUUU